GGAAGGUUAUCGAAGUGGUCAUAACGAGGCGGUCUUGAAAACCGUUUGUCCUUGCGGACACGUGGGUUCGAAUCCCACACCUUCCGCCA
rnacentral:tRNA from 1 species